CGUAUCACCCAAGACAACUUUACGGAGUUGACGAUUGACGGAGCGAAGCGACGUCAAAGCGUUCAUUAAAGUCGAGUUGGCUUAGGGAUACGUUCGUUGGGUAGGGGAGCGUUCUGUAAGCCUGUGAAGGUGGCCUGUGAGGGUUGCUGGAGGUAUCAGAAGUGCGAAUGCUGACAUAAGUAACGAUAAAGCGGGUGAAAAGCCCGCUCGCCGGAAGACCAAGGGUUCCUGUCCAACGUUAAUCGGGGCAGGGUGAGUCGACCCCUAAGGCGAGGCCGAAAGGCGUAGUCGAUGGGAAACGGGUUAAUAUUCCCGUACUUGGUGUUACUGCGAAGGGGGGACGGAGAAGGCUAUGUUGGCCGGGCGACGGUUGUCCCGGUUUAAGCGUGUAGGCUGGUUUUCCAGGCAAAUCCGGAAAAUCAAGGCUGAGGCGUGACGACGAGGCACUACGGUGCUGAAGCAACAAAUGCCCUGCUUCCAGGAAAAGCCUCUAAGCAUCAGGUAACAUCAAAUCGUACCCCAAACCGACACAGGUGGUCGGGUAGAGAAUACCAAGGCGCUUGAGAGAACUCGGGUGAAGGAACUAGGCAAAAUGGUGCCGUAACUUCGGGAGAAGGCACGCUGACACGUAGGUGAAGUGAUUUACUCAUGGAGCUGAAGUCAGUCGAAGAUACCAGCUGGCUGCAACUGUUUAUUAAAAACACAGCACUGUGCAAACACGUAAGUGGACGUAUACGGUGUGACGCCUGCCCGGUGCCGGAAGGUUAAUUGAUGGGGUCAGCGCAAGCGAAGCUCCUGAUAGAAGCCCCGGUAAACGGCGGCCGUAACUAUAACGGUCCUAAGGUAGCGAAAUUCCUUGUCGGGUAAGUUCCGACCUGCACGAAUGGCGUAAUGAUGGCCAGGCUGUCUCCACCCGAGACUCAGUGAAAUUGAACUCGCUGUGAAGAUGCAGUGUACCCGCGGCAAGACGGAAAGACCCCGUGAACCUUUACUAUAGCUUGACACUGAACAUUGAGCCUUGAUGUGUAGGAUAGGUGGGAGGCUUUGAAGCGUGGACGCCAGUCUGC
rnacentral:rRNA from 2 species